rnacentral:ncRNA from 1 species
CGAGAAGGUUAACGGUGGGGGUCUUAGAAAAAGCAAUUUUUUUAAGGCUCACUGCCCGAAGCCCUCGUCAAUGUCAGCGAUAACUAUAAUCGUUCUAAGGUGAAUUACUGUUGCCUUAGUAAAACUCAGCUGUAUGCUGGAACAACCGUGUAUCCAAUGCUACUAAGAUGAGUAACAAUGCAAUUGGUGCGGUCAAUCAGCAGGAAACCUACUUGGUAAGUGGGGAUCCUCAGAGACUAUACGCUGAGAUCUCGAUCGAUUCGAGAUAAGAUAUAGUCCGAUCUCUAUGGCGACAUAGAG